AUGAACGCUAGCUACAGGCUUAACACAUGCAAGUCGAGGGGCAGCAUGAACUUAGCUUGCUAAGUUUGAUGGCGACCGGCGCACGGGUGAGUAACACGUAUCCAACCUGCCGAUGACUCGGGGAUAGCCUUUCGAAAGAAAGAUUAAUACCCGAUGGCAUAGUUCUUCCGCAUGGUGGAACUAUUAAAGGAUUUCGGUCAUCGAUGGGGAUGCGUUCCAUUAGGUUGUUGGCGGGGUAACGGCCCACCAAGCCUUCGAUGGAUAGGGGUUCUGAGAGGAAGGUCCCCCACAUUGGAACUGAGACACGGUCCAAACUCCUACGGGAGGCAGCAGUGAGGAAUAUUGGUCAAUGGACGAGAGUCUGAACCAGCCAAGUAGCGUGAAGGAUGACUGCCCUAUGGGUUGUAAACUUCUUUUAUACGGGAAUAAAGUGAGGCACGUGUGCCUUUUUGUAUGUACCGUAUGAAUAAGGAUCGGCUAACUCCGUGCCAGCAGCCGCGGUAAUACGGAGGAUCCGAGCGUUAUCCGGAUUUAUUGGGUUUAAAGGGAGCGUAGGCGGACGCUUAAGUCAGUUGUGAAAGUUUGCGGCUCAACCGUAAAAUUGCAGUUGAUACUGGGUGUCUUGAGUACAGUAGAGGCAGGCGGAAUUCGUGGUGUAGCGGUGAAAUGCUUAGAUAUCACGAAGAACUCCGAUUGCGAAGGCAGCCUGCUGGACUGUAACUGACGCUGAUGCUCGAAAGUGUGGGUAUCAAACAGGAUUAGAUACCCUGGUAGUCCACACAGUAAACGAUGAAUACUCGCUGUUUGCGAUAUACAGUAAGCGGCCAAGCGAAAGCGUUAAGUAUUCCACCUGGGGAGUACGCCGGCAACGGUGAAACUCAAAGGAAUUGACGGGGGCCCGCACAAGCAGUGGAGUAUGUGGUUUAAUUCGAAGCAACGCGAAGAACCUUACCAAGGCUUGACAUAUACAGGAAUAUUUAAGAGAUUAAAUAGCUCUUCGGAGUCUGUAUACAGGUGGUGCAUGGUUGUCGUCAGCUCGUGCCGUGAGGUGUCGGCUUAAGUGCCAUAACGAGCGCAACCCUUAUCGAUAGUUACCAUCAGGUGAUGCUGGGGACUCUGUCGAGACUGCCGUCGUAAGAUGUGAGGAAGGUGGGGAUGACGUCAAAUCAGCACGGCCCUUACGUCCGGGGCUACACACGUGUUACAAUGGGGGGUACAGAGGGCCGCUACCACGCGAGUGGAUGCCAAUCCCAAAAACCUCUCUCAGUUCGGACUGGAGUCUGCAACCCGACUCCAUGAAGCUGGAUUCGCUAGUAAUCGCGCAUCAGCCACGGCGCGGUGAAUACGUUCCCGGGCCUUGUACACACCGCCCGUCACACCAUGAGAGCCGGGGGGACCCGAAGUCGGUAGUCUAACCGCAAGGAGGACGUCGCCGAAGGUAAAACUGGUGAUUGGGGUG
rnacentral:rRNA from 1 species